rnacentral:rRNA from 1 species
AGAGUUUGAUCAUGGCUCAGAUUGAACGCUGGCGGCAGGCCUAACACAUGCAAGUCGAACGGUAACAGAAAGCAGCUUGCUGCUUUGCUGACGAGUGGCGGACGGGUGAGUAAUGUCUGGGAAACUGCCUGAUGGAGGGGGAUAACUACUGGAAACGGUAGCUAAUACCGCAUAAUGUCGCAAGACCAAAGAGGGGGACCUUCGGGCCUCUUGCCAUCGGAUGUGCCCAGAUGGGAUUAGCUUGUUGGUGGGGUAACGGCUCACCAAGGCGACGAUCCCUAGCUGGUCUGAGAGGAUGACCAGCCACACUGGAACUGAGACACGGUCCAGACUCCUACGGGAGGCAGCAGUGGGGAAUAUUGCACAAUGGGCGCAAGCCUGAUGCAGCCAUGCCGCGUGUAUGAAGAAGGCCUUCGGGUUGUAAAGUACUUUCAGCGGGGAGGAAGGGAGUAAAGUUAAUACCUUUGCUCAUUGACGUUACCCGCAGAAGAAGCACCGGCUAACUCCGUGCCAGCAGCCGCGGUAAUACGGAGGGUGCAAGCGUUAAUCGGAAUUACUGGGCGUAAAGCGCACGCAGGCGGUUUGUUAAGUCAGAUGUGAAAUCCCCGGGCUCAACCUGGGAACUGCAUCUGAUACUGGCAAGCUUGAGUCUCGUAGAGGGGGGUAGAAUUCCAGGUGUAGCGGUGAAAUGCGUAGAGAUCUGGAGGAAUACCGGUGGCGAAGGCGGCCCCCUGGACGAAGACUGACGCUCAGGUGCGAAAGCGUGGGGAGCAAACAGGAUUAGAUACCCUGGUAGUCCACGCCGUAAACGAUGUCGACUUGGAGGUUGUGCCCUUGAGGCGUGGCUUCCGGAGCUAACGCGUUAAGUCGACCGCCUGGGGAGUACGGCCGCAAGGUUAAAACUCAAAUGAAUUGACGGGGGCCCGCACAAGCGGUGGAGCAUGUGGUUUAAUUCGAUGCAACGCGAAGAACCUUACCUGGUCUUGACAUCCACGGAAGUUUUCAGAGAUGAGAAUGUGCCUUCGGGAACCGUGAGACAGGUGCUGCAUGGCUGUCGUCAGCUCGUGUUGUGAAAUGUUGGGUUAAGUCCCGCAACGAGCGCAACCCUUAUCCUUUGUUGCCAGCGGUCCGGCCGGGAACUCAAAGGAGACUGCCAGUGAUAAACUGGAGGAAGGUGGGGAUGACGUCAAGUCAUCAUGGCCCUUACGACCAGGGCUACACACGUGCUACAAUGGCGCAUACAAAGAGAAGCGACCUCGCGAGAGCAAGCGGACCUCAUAAAGUGCGUCGUAGUCCGGAUUGGAGUCUGCAACUCGACUCCAUGAAGUCGGAAUCGCUAGUAAUCGUGGAUCAGAAUGCCACGGUGAAUACGUUCCCGGGCCUUGUACACACCGCCCGUCACACCAUGGGAGUGGGUUGCAAAAGAAGUAGGUAGCUUAACCUUCGGGAGGGCGCUUACCACUUUGUGAUUCAUGACUGGGGUGAAGUCGUAACAAGGUAACCGUAGGGGAACCUGCGGUUGGAUCACCU